rnacentral:rRNA from 1 species
AAAUUGAAGAGUUUGAUCAUGGCUCAGAUUGAACGCUGGCGGCAGGCCUAACACAUGCAAGUCGAGCGGAAACGAGUUAUCAGAACCUUCGGGGGACGAUAACGGCGUCGAGCGGCGGACGGGUGAGUAAUGCCUAGGAAAUUGCCCUGAUGUGGGGGAUAACCAUUGGAAACGAUGGCUAAUACCGCAUGAUGCCUACGGGCCAAAGAGGGGGACCUUCGGGCCUCUCGCGUCAGGAUAUGCCUAGGUGGGAUUAGCUAGUUGGUGAGGUAAGGGCUCACCAAGNCGACGNAUCCCUAGCUGGUCUGAG